rnacentral:rRNA from 1 species
AUUGAACGCUGGCGGCAGGCCUAACCCAUGCAAGUCGAGCGAGCGGCGCACGGGUGAGUAAUGCCUGGGAACUGCCCAGUCGAGGGGGAUAACAGUUGGAAACGACUGCUAAUACCACAUACGAUUGGUCUGCCCAGGUGGGUUUAGCUAGUUGGUGAGGUAAUGGUGCACCAAGGCGACGAUCCCUAGCUGGUCGGAGAGGAUGUUCAGCCACACUGGAACUGAGAGACGGUCCAGACUCCGACGGGAAGCAGCAGUGGGGAAUAUUGCACAAUGGGGGAAACCCUGAUGCAGCCAUGCCGCGUGUGUGAAGAAAGCCUUCGGGUUGUAAAGCACUUUCAGCGAGGAGGCAUUACUCGCAGAGGAAGCGCCGGCUAACACCGAGCCAGCAGCCACGAUAAUAC